rnacentral:lncRNA from 1 species
ACAUAAUUUAUUCCCAAAAAUAUACAAAAUUAUAUUGAAAUACAAACAUUACAUGUACAGUAGAUGAAAAGGAUUAGAACGAAAGACAAGUCUUAUAGAGUUCUUCUCCUAAAAUGGACAGGUAAAUUGUGUAGUCUAGUAUAUCAAAAAAUCAUGUUUCUGGAACAACAAUAUGAGCGCUAAUGAGAGUAGAGAAGUUAGAAGUAGUUCAUUAAAUUUUCUAGAAUUAGAGAACAUAAAAUAUAACUUUCAGCUAUGUAACAGUGUAAAUUUGUGAAAAUAUUGACAUUAUCCUCGUCCGGUAAAGAAGUGUUUCCAUAAAGAAGAAGGUUUUCGUCGAUAUCAUAGUUCUGAAGGUUACUGAAAAGAUUUUGGCGACAGUCUGUAUAUAAGGUACAUUCUUAUAGAUAAUGGGCGUUCGUCUCCAUCUGGCCACAUUGACAAAGAGGCGUGGGUGAUAUAUUUCUAAGAAAUAGAUGAUGAUUGAGUGCACUGCAUUUAGUCCGUAAUCUUGUGUGAAGAACUUGGAGCUUCCUUAUUCCGACAUAAUAGUAUUUGGGUAUGCGGCGAAUAUCUUUAUUCAAGUAAUCUUUGAAAGCAGAUAAUGUUGUUAAAUUACGAAUACUAUCUGGUAAGAGGUUCCAGUCACGUAUCACUGAAGGCAGAAAAGAAUUAAAGUAUAAAGUGGUCCUGGACGGUAUACCACGUACAUUGUUCGGAUUUCUUAAAUCAUAGCGAUGUUCAACUGGAUGAGGUAUUACAGUUGAGAGAUAUUCAGGUGUCUUAUUUGUGUACAUUUUAAAGAAAAGAAUGAGUCUAUGCUUGUAUCUGCGCUCUGACAGACUUUCCCAUGGAGAUUCUUCAUGGAGUUUUUCAAGGGAAACUAGUUUUGUUGCACCAGUCGCUAUACGAGCACAUUCGUGUUGGAUUUUGUCAAGUCGAUCUACUUCAUAAUUUGUACAAUUACUCCAAACAACAUCGGCGUAUUCGAGAAUAGGCCGGACGAAAGUGUAGAUAGUUUCCAGAGAUCUCCGAUCGAUUUUACGCAUGACGUUGACUCUUUUCCAUGCUUUGUCUAAAAUAAAGUCAAUAUGUGAGUGCCAACUACAAUCGCUGGAAAGAAAGACACCAAAAUGUUUGUGUUCAGUUACUUCGGGUUUAACUUUAACUUUGCUAGCGGGAUUAAACCGCAACCAAAAAUCGAUUGCUGGUGCAAAGCUUGAUCAAUCAAUAGGGUAAGGGGUUGAAAAAUAAAUCACUAUUAAAGGUAAGUACAAAAUGUAAUGAAACGCCGUUUAUGUUCUAACUGUCUGGAUACUAAUGAUAGAAUAUGAACAACUAUUUUUGUAAAAUAUUUAUAAAGAAAGUCAUAAACUUGAAUCUCCGUUGAAUUAAAUGUAAUCAAAAUCGAUCUUCUUUGUACACCAACGUAUUUAAAUAGCUAAACACCAGUUAUGGUGACAUUGCAUUUUUGUUCACAUUUUUAUGAAAGGAUUUAUUGCCUACAGCUUUAGUUUGGACUUGUUAGAAUGAGCAUCCUUUUUAUUUAUUCUACACCAGUCAAUUAUAAUAUAAUUUUCAUUCUAAAUGACUUAUAUAACUUACUUAAAUCAGGAGAAUCGAAGGACAAAAAUAGUCGUUUCCUGUACGAAAAUAGGACCUGUUUUACAGCUGUAAAACGUCUUUUAAAAUUGCAGCUGUAAAAGACAUAUAUGUGGAAAAAUGAUCAGAAAUACAGUUGAAAUUCACAGGUGUAAAAGUAUGGAGGUCUCAAUUUACAGCUGUAAAAAAUUUACAUUUGAAAUUUACAGCUGUAAAAUGGUAAUGUCUUAAAAUUACAGCAGUAACAUUUUUGGAGGGAAACAUGAGAAAUGUCAGCCAUCUUUAAUGCAUUUGGCGGGAUAUAACUGAAAUAAACACAGACACCACAUCUUCUAAAAAUUUGGAAUUUAAAGCGUUAUAGAAAUGCCUCCACAAAGAAGCUGUGAUAAAUUUCUUGGAGGUGUGAUAGAUUGAGAGCAUAAAACAGAGUCCAUCGUGAUUCUGUAAAAUCAUUCAAAAAUAUGACCCAGACAAUCUCAGAAUUGUCCUAAACAGUCCUUAUUGUAACUAUUUGUGACUUAAAUGAGAAUUGCAGUUUGAAUCAUGCAAAUAAAGAAAUAUUAAAAUGAUGUCAUUGUUGAAAAACAUAGAAUAAGUAUGUCUCGACUAAGAAUGUCAUCACAUAGGCUAGAAAUAGAAAGUGGCAGAUGGAAAAAGUGUAGAAAUGGCUGAAUUGUAGAAAGAAAACAACACAGACAUAACAUAACAACGCAGAUUCAACAUAACAGCACAGUAUCAACAUAACAACGCAGCUUCAAUAAAACUACGCAGACACCAACGUAAGAAGAAAAUAUAAUUAUAGUCCACAUAAUUGCGAUGAUUAAUUAACGGGAGCGGAGAAAAGUCGAAGAUGAAGGAGGAGGGAACACUAAUUUGAGUACUAGUCGCCCAUAUGGUAUCAACCGGUGGUGACUAUAAACAAACGCAACACACACACCUGUAGAAAAAGAGGACUUAAUCUUUCUUAUUAUCUUUUUGUAGGUAUUCAACUGCUUUAGCCUUUUCCAGUCCAACUAAUUGUAUGCUGGUCGGCAUAUUGUGC